rnacentral:rRNA from 1 species
CAAUAGCGUAUAUUAAAGUUGUUGCAGUUAGAACGCUCGUAGUCGGAUUUCGGGGCGGGGCGACCGGUCUGCCGAUGGGUAUGCACUGGUCGGCGCGUCCUUCCUUCCGGAGACCGUUCCUACUCUUAACUGAGCGGGGGCGGGAGACGGAUCGUUUACUUUGAAAAAAUCAGAGUGUUUCAAGCAGGCAGCUCGCUCUUGCAUGGAUUAGCAUGGGAUAAUGAAAUAGGACUUUGGUGCUAUUUUGUUGGUUUCGAACACCGAAGUAAUGAUUAAAAGGGACAGUCAGGGGCACUCGUAUUCCGCCGAGAGAGGUGAAAUUCUCAGACCAGCGGAAGACGAACCACUGCGAAAGCAUUUGCCAGGGAUGUUUNCACUGGU